ensembl:snRNA U6 U6 spliceosomal RNA
GUGUUCGCUUUGGCAGCACAUAAACUAGAACUGGAAUGAUACAGGGAUGAUCGUGGCCCCUGCACAAAGAUGACAUGCACAUUCUUUUUUUUUUUUUUUUUUUU